GACGAACGCUGGCGGCGUGCCUAACACAUGCAAGUCGAGCGAUGAAAUCCCUUCGGGGAUGGAUUAGCGGCGGACGGGUGAGUAACACGUUGGUAACCUGCCUCAAAGUGGGGGAUAGCCUUCCGAAAGGAAGAUUAAUACAGCAUAAUAUUAGAUUUUCGCAUGAAGAACUAAUUAAAGGAGUAAUCCGCUUUGAGAUGGACCCGCGGCGCAGUAGCUAGUUGGUGAGGUAAUAGCUCACCAAGGCGACGAUGCGUAGCCGACCUGAGAGGGUGAUCGGCCACAUUGGAACUGAGACACGGUCCAGACUCGUACGGGAGGCAGCAGUGGGGAAUAUUGCACAAUGGGGGAACCCCUGAUGCAGCAACGCCGCGUGAGUGAUGAAGGUCUUCGGAUUGUAAAGCUCUGUCUUUUGGGACGAUAAUGACGGUACCAAAGGAGGAAGCCACGGCUAACUACGUGCCAGCAGCCGCAGUAAGAC
rnacentral:rRNA from 1 species